rnacentral:rRNA from 1 species
CAACUGUGAAGAGGCGGUGGAAACUGGAUAGCUAGAGUACGGUAGGGGCAGAGGGAAUUCCCAGUGUAGCGGUGAAAUGCGUAGAUAUUGGGAAGAACACCAGUGGCGAAGGCGCUCUGCUGGGCCGACACUGACGCUGAGGGACGAAAGCUGGGGGAGCGAAAGGGAUUAGAUACCCCUGUAGUCCUAGCUGUAAACGAUGGAUACUAGGUGUUGCGCGAUCGACCCGUGCAGUACCGAAGCUAACGCGUUAAGUAUCCCGCCUGGGGAGUACGCACGCAAGUGUGAAACUCAAAGGGAUUGACGGGGGCCCGCACAAGCGGUGGAGUAUGUGGUUUAAUUCGAUGCAACGCGAAGAACCUUACCAAGGCUUGACAUCCCCUGAAGCUUCGUGAAAGCGGAGUGUGCCUUCGGGAGCAGGGAGACAGGUGGUGCAUGGCUGUCGUCAGCUCGUGUCGUGAGAUGUUGGGUUAAGUCCCGCAACGAGCGCAACCCACGUUUUUAGUUGCCAGCAUUAAGUUGGGCACUCUAGAGAGACUGCCGGGGACAACUCGGAGGAAGGUGUGGACGACGUCAAGUCAUCAUGCCCCUUACGUCUUGGGCUACACACGUACUACAAUGCUACGGACAAAGGGCAGCGAGCGUGCGAGCGCAAGCUAAUCCCAUAAACCGUAGCUCAGUUCAGAUUGCAGGCUGCAACUCGCCUGCAUGAAGGAGGAAUCGCUAGUAAUCGCAGGUCAGCAUACUGCGGUGAAUACGUUCCCGGGCCUUGUACACACCGCCCGUCACACCAUGGGAGUUGGCCACGCCCGAAGUCGUUACUCUAACCUUC